CUACGGGAUGCACCAGUGGGGAAUUUUGCGCAAUGGGCGAAAGCCUGACGCAGCAAUACCGCGUGAGUGAAGAAGGCUCUUGGGUCGUAAAGCUCUUUGUUCAGGGGAAGAUAAUGACGGUACCCUGAGAAUAAGCACCGGCUAACUCCGUGCCAGCAGCCGCGGUAAUACGGAGGGUGCGAGCGUUGUUCGGAUUUACUGGGCGUAAAGGGCGCGUAGGCGGUCUUGUAAGCUAAGGGUGAAAUCCCGGGGCUCAACCCCGGAACUGCUCUUGGAACUGCUUGACUAGAGAUAGAUAGAGGUGAGUGGAAUUCCUGGUGUAGAGGUGAAAUUCGUAGAUAUCAGGAGGAACACCGGAGGCGAAGGCGGCUCACUGGAUCUUAUCUGACGCUAAGGCGCGAAAGCGUGGGGAGCAAACGGGAUUAGAUACCCCGGUAGUC
rnacentral:rRNA from 1 species